AAUCAGGAUAGAAAAAGAAGUGAUCCGACCUGUAUUUUGCAUGGUCGAAUUGUGGUGUUGAGUUGCAAUCUACAUGAUGGUGAACGGUGGUUGCAAACGGUCGGAGACGCAGACUCCAACGGAAAAUUGGAUGCGCGAUUCUGUGUGCGACAGUUGACCAGGCGUUUGCGGAGAACACAGUGUGCAGAGACGAGUGACACGGAGGCGGUGUGCGUUGAAGGGUGCAUUGUAAUUAUAUCGGAGGAGCGUGAUCGGAGUUGGGGUCGCGUGAUGGCGAUGUUGAUUGUGCGGCUAGAGCUGCUGGUGUGUUGCGUGAGUUGA